GUGCUAUGGUUUCUGGCCCUGGUGUUGUUGGAUUGAAAUGAUGGCUGCAAUCAGAGUCAUAGUGCAUUGCACUUCAUCUGCGCUACUGUUUCUUUAAAGCUGCUGCUUUGCAAGAUUCUCCUCCUCUGGACUUGUCCUAAUCUCAAUUACUUUUGGUCAGCUGGAGUUUUCCUCUAGAGAAGAAGAGGAGGAGAAUGGCCUCUGUACAGAUAUUGGGUGGCUGUGCUGGGAAAGAAAAAAGAAGACACAAGAAAAGACUGUUGAACCUGUGACAAGAAAAAAGGGAUCAUAUGAAAACCUUAAGAAGAGCUCUGCUCUAUAGCUCCAUCCGUUUCCUCUCUGCUGCAAGGGGCCAGGUUGCCAAAAGAAGAGCUGUCAUCGCCAAGCUGAUACGAGCCAUCUCCUCUCCUUCUCUGGAGCAUUUAUACAGCUUUUGUCCGGAUGCUGAAUAUAUUCUUUCCUCCGUGUGUCACUUCCAGAGAAGCACUGUUGAGGUGAAAUGCCACUCAGCCGUCACAGACCAUUUACCUAUGGGGGCUGGUUGGAAAGUCAUGGGCUGAGACCGUGCAGGGCCCUAGGACAGCAGACCGCUUCUGCCGCUGCAGCAGCCUACAGGAACAUCCUGACAGUGACGUAGUGCAUGGAUCCCUCUGGAACGUGGCCAGUGCAGCUUGCAAGGAAUCAUUAAGGAAACAACCAUUUUGUUGCUGGUGUUGAGCAACACCGUGCAAUUCUUGCUAAAAAUCACUCUAUGCCGCCCAUUCAGCAACUUUCAUUUCUGAUUAAGCUUUCCAGCCUGUAGGUAUCUUUUCGCACAUCUGUCUUAGCAUUUCCAUUUAGAAGGGUUUAAUUUAGAAAUCCAUUGUGCCUAGCCCUGCACAGACCAAGCCAAUUUAUUUCACAUAAUGCUUCAACACCAUGCACUUUAAGGAAACAGACUUGUCUUAAUUCCUUUAUGGAGGGGAAGGAUGGACUUGUGCUUCAGGUGUUGGCUUGAGAUUCUGGAGAAAUGGAUCCUGUUCUGACAGUAUCCACAGAUUUCCUGAGACCUUUGUCAAAUCACUUAUUCUGCCUUGAACCUAACUUCUCUCUCUGGAAAAUAAUCAACAUAACGCUCCCUACCUCCUGUGAUGGGGGAUAACCAUAGUAUCUAGGAUGCAUCAGAGUGCCUGUAUUACGUGCUUUACCAACAGAAUAGAAAGGUGAUCUCUGCCCUGGAGGGACGUCACUGCUUGAGUGCAAUGGAGAGACAACAGGCGGGUGCAAGUCUGCUGAGAAGCAAUGAGACAAGGCAGAGCUGACUGGCAAACAGACCCUGGGCAUUGCCCACCAGCUGCCUAGAGCAUUUCCAUAAGCAUCUAGUCGGGGAGGGAUGUGAAGGAAGCGAACGAAUCGCUCUGUGGGCGUUCGCAGGAAGCUACCACCAAGCGUGAGGGAGAAGCACGGGACAAGGCGCAGAAGUGGCGGUUGGAGAAUCCAUGUGGGUGAUCUUCUCAGGCAGCCCGGCGGACAGGAGACUCCGUGGUACGCCUGAAGCGAGCACAGACACCUCCCCUCUCCUCGGCAGAGCUCAACUGGCAAAAGUUGAUCUUUUCAUUCACUUGAGGGAUUCUGUUUAUUCUCUAAAUGCCUCUGGGCCUUACUUAUCAAGUCUGUUUUCCUUCUCUUUGUCACUGUCAGAGCAAAAUGUGAGUUUGAGAAGAGCCUCUCUCACCCCAAGUUACGCUCAGGGGACGACGCGUUUGCACUGAGGAGGUGGUGUGAAUCCUGAGUGGUGCCAGCCCUUCGCAGACCCCACUGGUACCAGUAGACCUAAAGACAGGUGCUCUCCAUGCGUGGGGGCUGUGAGCAUGGGUGAAGCUUCCAGUGGCCACGUGCCCUCCAGUGCUCUCAUCGCCAUCAAUCAAGCUCUUCCCUGCAAAGCAGUAGCGGAGGAAGCUCAAGAAGCAUCGCUUUUUAAUUUCAGUGCUGCCACAGUCACUGACGUCCUCGCUAAUCCUCUUGCGGCAGCAGGCUGCUCAUCAAAAACUCUGCUCGCCACUUUGGCAUCAUUCUGGAAAGCCAACAGAGCUCAGAGAUGCUCGAUUCCUCCCCCUCCACACACCUUCCAUUGUCUUCAGGACUGACAGCUCUGAUGUGGAGCGGUGAUAAAAGCCAGCUGAUGCUGUCAGGGCCUGGUACAAUUGCACCGCAGGGAAAAAGGCGACUGGCUCUGACUCAUCCUAGCCGCCUGGAGCUCAGCAUGCCUUGCACACGUUCUGUCUCCUGGCACGGCUCAGCACACAACAAGGCACAUGUGGUGGUUCCUGGCUACUGCCCUGCAAGGCAGGAGUUGAUGGUGGGUCUUUGAAACAGCUAGCAGUGGUGUCCAAGUGAGACCUUCUAGAAUGAGUGGCCAGCCAUCCCUUGAGAUGCUAGAAAAACCCACAGGAAAAAGAAAAGACUCCUUUGCAGGUCUCUGUCUGUGGUGAGAAUGGGGGAACUGGCAGCCAGAGGAAUAAAGCUGGUUAGUUGGCUGUUCCUUUAGCAGAGCGUUUCUGCAACUUCUGAGUGGUAACACUGGGACAGUAGCACCCGUCCUUCAUCACCUCACGAAUCUCUCGUAACGGACUGAGCUGAGUCUGGGUUGAAGUUCUGAGGUGCUCCAAAAAGGGGUUCCAGACUUGAAAUGCUUCAGGAGUGCCAAGCUGGGAAGGGAAGGAGAUUCAAAGCAGGGAAGUUGGACUGUGAUGUGAACUUCAGGGUGACCUUGAGGAAACUGGCCAAAGGCUGCCCAUCCUGUCCAGGUCAUCAGCUGAAAUUUCCAUUAUUGGAGUUAGAAACUCAAGGGUCAUUUCUGUUUCAUUUUUUAUUUUGUCCCCAACAUGACAUUUGAAUGAGAGGCAUUAGGAGUUCCUCCUAUAAAUAAGAUCACCCCUGUCACAGCUUGUUUUGUCAAACUCUGUGUCAAGCCCAUAAAGAAGGUGCUUCUUAGAUCUGCUGCAUGGAGGGUGCAUAAGGGUGUCCAAGGAAGUUCCUGGAUGGUUCGGGAAGUUCGGGACAAGGACGGUUCCUUGUUUCACUAGUUGGUGUUGGGACACCAGCUCUUUUCAAGUCAACAAACAUUAUCAUCCCCAGCUCCCAUCUGGAGGAAUUGGGGAGGGGCGCAGGACAGAUGCAAUGUAGUCAAGGAUCACUGCUGUAUGUUGCAGCAGAAGCAAAGCAUCCCUGGGAUGUUGUGGGAAAAGGCAGUUAAGGCACAGUGUGUGCAUAUUGUGGGACCUCCAGAGCUCCUGUCACAGCAGGAGUUAAAUUAAUUGAUUUCAUCUGGUCCUUCAAAUUCUUUUCCCAGUUCUGCCCUAGAGGUUUGGGGUAACUUGAAAACCCUACACCUUCAGCUGACUCAGUUUCCCCUGGAGAAAGCUGCAGCCUGCUCUUCCUGUAGAGCUGCCCAGUUAUUUUUUAGCUCCAUGAGAAACAGCAGUUUCAGUGGCAGCUGUUACAAAGCGGCUUUGCAGUACUGGAAUUCAGCUGGAGCGUGGCAGUGAAGCCAGGGACACAAAGCAAAGCAUCUUUAAAACAAGAGAGCGUAAGUGUCCCCCUGUGCCAGCUGCAGGGACAUCUGGAUGGAGCUGGCUUGGCAGAGACUGCCGAGGUCACCAGGGUAAUGCAUGAAGGGCUGGCUCCGUAGCAGAGCACCUCAGGUCAGCAGGGAGCCAGAGGGGGAAUCCUGAGGCCCCCUUUCCUUUCCUUCUCCUCCCUGGGUGCUUAUUCCCACCUUUUCACCAAACUUUGUGUUGCUCCAAGACUGGGGGCUGCAAUGAACCUAUACUGCUGAAGUGAUGCAAGUGAAUGUGUCUUAAA